AUUUUGUAAUGAAGAACAUAUUACAGUAGUGAGUUAAAUAAGUGGCUCAGCAUUAGUUUAGUUAAUUUCCUCUAGAAAUCACAAAUUCCACAUUCCUUAGAAAAUUAAGGAUUGCUUUCUUGUAAUUAUGUCUUAACUGAGGAGGCAUGAAAGUCUGUCAUAUGCCCUGCCUGCCCCUGAAAGAACCCCAUUUACUCUGCAUUUUUAUUGUUGCAAUCUUCCCAGACAGUGCACAGAUGGAAUUUCUCAUCUGACAAAUGAAACAGAUAACAUUUAUUGAGCAAAACUUAGAUUGCCCGGGUUCAUUUGCUAUUUCAUGCAGUCAGUGCCUCUCCUGUAGUUAGCAAUAUGAAUACUCUCCAGAGAGCAACUCUGGGGAAAGCUCAUUUUUUAGGUGGAGUAGGUGACAGAAAAUAUGAUUUAGUAAUAUCAUGUAAAUACUCAGGAUCAUUGUGAAAUAAGCAAACAUUUAAAUUUAAAUUUUUAAGGGUGCUAUGGAACAUUGCACAAGCAAGUGUCAUUUUCUUGGAUUAUUAGUUAACUAACUCUGGUAAAUCUUGACAAAAUAUAAGCAAUCCCUCUUGUUUAAUAGAGCUUAGCUGCUCCUUUUUGCUAGCUAUGAAAUGCUCAAAGCAGCUUUCAGUUCAAAGCCCAGAACUGACAGAGGUGUUGAACUCUGGAGAGAUUUUGAUUAUCCAGGGUUUUAUUCUAACUACAUUCUUCUUUACUUGUAUGCUCCAUAAUCCUGCCUCACACUGUAGAAAAAGUUAAGUCUCAUAGGUGACCAGCAGUCUUAGGAGGAGCGUCACAAGCAGAGGAAAUACUGUGGAUAAGACAGAAACCAGAGCUCUGGAUGGUAAUGGGAAGAGAGUUGUACAAGCAGCAUUUCCUUGGACUUCACAGAGAAGACCACAUCAGAAAGGCUGCAAGCAUGUUGUGCUGCUGGAAACAGCUCAUUCGGCCACCAUUAUUUCUAAGGGCUUCCUGCAGCUUGUACUGCUUCUGCAGUUGAAUGAGGGAUAAACGGUCUCUCAUGGUCUCCUUUGU